GACGAACCGUGCGAACGUUUGUUCGGAAUCACUGGGCUUAAAGGGCGCGUAGGCGGGCUGCCAAGUCAGGGGUGAAAGCCCACGGACCUCAACCGUGGAAGUGCCUUUGAUACUGGCGGCCUCGAGGGAAGAGGGGCGUGCGGAACUUCCGGUGGAGCGGGUGAAAGUGCUCGUGAGAGUAUACGGAAAGGAACACCGGGUGGCGAA
rnacentral:rRNA from 1 species